AAUCCAUGCAUGGGGCAUUUCCACAACAAUUCUUUAAAUCUUUCCAAUGCUUCAUACAAGCUUUCAUCUUCCAACUGCUUGAAUGAAUUUAAAUCAUUACGAAGUAU